GUCCUUCUGGAUUGUCAGCAGCUUCCAGCUGCCAUAAACUUGUGAAAGAUCAGAUAGACCUGCAGAGAAGAAAGAAAGAAGUGAUGAAGACAGAACCUGGUAGAGACAGGACAGAGGGGAAACAAACGCAGAGAUAAAGAAUUGAAAGACUGCCACAUAGGGGUGGGAGGACAGGUAUGUUCUCCCCACACCAAGAGACCCUAAUUGUUGAUAUGGUCCGUGAGAACAAUGCCAUUAAACUGAGUGAAAUUCAGCAGAAGAUCAUUGAGGACCAUGUCAAUUUUGAGGGUAUCAACAGUGUCAGCCUCUCUACUGUUGAUCGUGUCCUCAAGCGCAACAGACUGCGCAUGAAACAGCUAUACAGAGUGCCCUUUGAUCGCAACUCAGAGUCAAAGAGCAAAGAUUCCAGUAUGUACAGAGGGUUUUUCAGCUGGAUGCAAUGGAAAGACCCCAUGAAUACAUCUACAUGGAUGAAGCUGGGUUUAAUCUCACCAAAAGGAGAAGGAGAGGCCGUAAUGUGAUUGGCCAUCGGGCUAUUGUUGGUGUUCCUGGGCAGCGUGGUGGCAAUGUCACAUUAUGUGCUGCCAUCAGCAAUCAUGGGGUUGUCCACCAUCAUGCCAACCUGGGGCCCUACAACACUCACCAGCUCCUCAUUUUCCUCAAUCACAUGCGAGAUGCUCU